UACGUAGGAUGCAAGCGUUGUCCGGAUUUACUGGGCGUAAAGGGCGCGCAGGCGGCACUACAAGUACUGGGUGAAAUCUCCCUGCUCAACGGGGAGGGUGCUUAGUAGACUGUAGAGCUAGAGGUGGGUAGAGGCAGGUGGAAUUCCGGGUGUAGCGGUGGAAUGCGUAGAGAUCCGGAAGAACACCGGUGGCGAAGGCGGCCUGCUGGGCAGUAGCUGACGCUGAGGCGCGACAGCGUGGGGAGCAAACAGG
rnacentral:rRNA from 1 species